AACGUACGCUGGCGGCACGCUUAACACAUGCAAGUCGAACGAAGUAGCAAUACUUAGUGGCAGACGGGUGAGUAACAUGUGGGUAUCUGCCCUUUGGCCUGGAAUAUCACGAGGAAACUUGUGCUAAUACCGGAUAAGUCUUUACGGAGAAAGCUUUAUGCACCAUUGGAUGAGCCCGCACUUGAUUAGUUUGUUGGUGGGGUAAUGGCCUACCAAGACUGUGAUCAAUAGCUGAUUUGAGAGGAUGAUCAGCCACAUUGGGACUGAGACACGGCCCAAACUCCUACGGGAGGCAGCAGUGGGGAAUCUUGCACAAUGGAGGAAACUCUGAUGCAGCGAUGCCGCGUGAGUGAAGAAGGCCCUUGGGUUGUAAAGCUCUUUCGUCGGGGAAGAAAAUGACUGUACCCGAAUAAGAAGGUCCGGCUAACUUCGUGCCAGCAGCCGCGGUAAUACGAAGGGACCUAGCGUAGUUCGGAAUUACUGGGCUUAAAGAGUUCGUAGGUGGUUGAAAAAGUUAGUGGUGAAAUCCCAGAGCUUAACUCUGGAACUGCCAUUAAAACUUUUCAGCUAGAGUAUGAUAGAGGAAAGCAGAAUUUCUAGUGUAGAGGUGAAAUUCGUAGAUAUUAGAAAGAAUACCAAUUGCGAAGGCAGCUUUCUGGAUCAUUACUGACACUGAGGAACGAAAGCAUGGGUAGCGAAGAGGAUUAGAUACCCUCGUAGUCCAUGCCGUAAACGAUGUGUGUUAGACGUUGGAAAUUUAUUUUCAGUGUCGCAGCGAAAGCGAUAAACACACCGCCUGGGGAGUACGACCGCAAGGUUAAAACUCAAAUGAAUUGACGGGGACCCGCACAAGUAGUGGAGCAUGUGGUUUAAUUCGAAGAUACGCGCAGAACCUUACCAACACUUGACAUGUUCGUCGCGACUCUAAGAGAUUAGAGUUUUCGGUUCGGCCGGACGAAACACAGGUGCUGCAUGGCUGUCGUCAGCUCGUGUCGUGAGAUGUUGGGUUAAGUCCCGCAACGAGCGCAACCCUCACUUUUAGUUGCCAUCAUUUAGUUGGGCACUCUGAAAGAACUGCCAGUGAUAAGCUGGAGGAAGGUGGGGAUGACGUCAAGUCCUCAUGGCCCUUACGUGUUGGGCUACACACGUGCUACAAUGGUAUCUACAACAGGAAGCAAGACUGCGAGGUCAAGCAAAUCCUUAAAAGAUACCUCAGUUCGGAUUGCACUCUGCAACUCGAGUGCAUGAAGCUGGAAUUACUAGUAAUCGUGGAUCAGCGUGCCACGGUGAAUGCGUUCCCGGGUCU
rnacentral:rRNA from 1 species